rnacentral:rRNA from 1 species
AUUGAACGCUGGCGGCAGGCCUAACACAUGCAAGUCGAGCGAGCGGCGGACGGGUGAGUAAUGUCUGGGAGACUGCCUGAUGGAGGGGGAUAACUACUGGAAACGGUAGCUAAUACCGCAUACCCUCAGAUGUGCCCAGAUGGGAUUUGCUCGUAGGUGGGGUAACGGCUCACCUAGGCGACGAUCCCUAGCUGGUCUGAGAGGAUGACCAGCCACACUGGAACUGAGACACGGUCCAGACUCCUACGGGAGGCAGCAGUGGGGAAUAUUGCACAAUGGGCGCAAGCCUGAUGCAGCCAUGCCGCGUGUGUGAAGAAGGCCUUCGGGUUGUAAAGCACUUUCAGCGGGGAGGCGUUACCCGCAGAAGAAGCACCGGCUAACUCCGUGCCAGCAGCCGCGGUAAUUC